GUUAACAUGUUAAAAUCUGUAUGGAUGUUACUUCUUCCUUCUCUUCUUUUCUGUGCCCCGCCCUAAAACAUUUUAACUCCCAGUCAUUAAUUUGCUUGGUUUCAGUACCCACGGCAAUCAUGAGCAGCUCCAGGCAGGUACCACCUACAAAAAGGGACCUAACAGCUACAUAUCUGAAACGGAAGAAAAAAAAUGAAGAAAGCUUAAAGUCAUCAGGAACAGCAUUUAUUGGACAGGUUAUAAAGUUUUGGAAUAGCUCCCUGUGGGUGGGAGUUGACAGAAUAGAAGAUUACGUGGAAAAGGUCACAUUAAUGAUGUCCGUCUUCUUCCAACUGACUUCUUUGAGUCUCAAGAGGUGAUGGACUAUUUAGAAAAACGUUUUCCUAAGACAUUCGACAAUUACAUGUCUCCACCCUGUCAGACUCCAUUUUCCAUUAUUCUGACUUUGGCUGUCAGGAUUUGUGGUCAUGAGAACGAAGAUAAAAUACAAGAAAAUCUUCUAAGUUUCAUGGAAGCAUUGAAAUUGCCCCCCAAAAUAAAAGGCGAGAGUAACUACACCAACUACUACACUCUGGAGGCUACUGUCAUAGCUGUGUGCUACAACGAA